rnacentral:lncRNA from 1 species
GUUUAUGGGGGCUUAUUUCGGUAAGGCUUCUUUUCUUCUCCCUAGUUAGUAUUAUUUGUAAUUGCUAGUUAAGUGUACUAUGAUUAUAUAUUGCUCAUAUCAUAUAUAUGUUUUCCAUGUAAUUGCAGAGUUACGUCUAUACAAAAAAAUUGGAAGGUAGAGAGGACGGCAAAAUACUACUUUAUAAUAAGCUGAAGUCUCAUAUCUUAGUGAAGUUAAUCUUAGUUUAUGAUGUAUUGUUAUGUUUUUGAUCAGAAAUCAUAGUAAUAAUGUAUUGUUCAUUACGAUAUUUAAUGACUAUAUACAUGUUUAACAUAGUAAUUUGAUAUGUAUUUUGGUG